CCUACGGGAGGCAGCAGUGGGGAAUUUUGGACAAUGGGCGCAAGCCUGAUCCAGCAAUGCCGCGUGCAGGAUGAAGGCCUUCGGGUUGUAAACUGCUUUUGUACGGAACGAAAAAGUCUGCCCUAAUACGGUGGGCCCAUGACGGUACCGUAAGAAUAAGCACCGGCUAACUACGUGCCAGCAGCCGCGGUAAUACGUAGGGUGCGAGCGUUAAUCGGAAUUACUGGGCGUAAAGCGUGCGCAGGCGGUUAUAUAAGACAGAUGUGAAAUCCCCGGGCUCAACCUGGGACCUGCAUUUGUGACUGUAUAGCUAGAGUACGGUAGAGGGGGAUGGAAUUCCGCGUGUAGCAGUGAAAUGCGUAGAUAUGCGGAGGAACACCGAUGGCGAAGGCAAUCCCCUGGACCUGUACUGACGCUCAUGCACGAAAGCGUGGGGAGCAAACAGGAUUAGAUACCCUGGUAGUCCACGCCCUAAACGAUGUCAACUGGUUGUUGGGUCUUCACUGACUCAGUAACGAAGCUAACGCGUGAAGUUGACCGCCUGGGGAGUACGGCCGCAAGGUUGAAACUCAAAUGAAUUGACGG
rnacentral:rRNA from 1 species